rnacentral:rRNA from 1 species
AGAACGAACGCUGGCGGCAUGCCUAAUACAUGCAAGUCGAACGAACUCUUCGGAGUUAGUGGCGCACGGGUGCGUAACGCGUGGGAAUCUGCCCCUUGGUUCGGAAUAACAGUUGGAAACGACUGCUAAUACCGGAUGAUGACGAAAGUCCAAAGAUUUAUCGCCAAGGGAUGAGCCCGCGUAGGAUUAGCUAGUUGGUGAGGUAAAGGCUCACCAAGGCAACGAUCCUUAGCUGGUCUGAGAGGAUGAUCAGCCACACUGGGACUGAGACACGGCCCAGACUCCUACGGGAGCAGCAGUAGGGAAUAUUGGACAAUGGGCGAAAGCCUGAUCCAGCAAUGCCG